rnacentral:lncRNA from 1 species
GCAGAGAUGGGGAGGGGGACCCCCCAGUGGCUAUGCUUCCAACAGAGAUCGCGGCUACCCUGGAAUAACUCACCGGAGGGAUGUGUAAAUGGCUUUCUAGGUAAUCGUAAAUUGGGUUUUCGAGGAUGAGCGUCCAGUUAUUUCCAGAACUGCUGCAAACAUCUGAAAACCAAGAAUGUCACGCAGCUUGUCAAAAUAAAUGCAAACUGUGGUGCAGUUUUAGAAAAAUGACAAAAAAAAAAAAUAGGGUUUUGCUGAGAAAAAAAAAGGUUUUGCUGAGGAAAAAGAAAAAAAAAUAGGGUUUUGCUGAGGAAAAAGAAAAAAAAGAUAGGGUUUUGCUGAGGAAAAACAAAAAAGAUAGGGUUUUGCUGAGGAAAAAGAAAAAAAGGGUUUUGCUGAGGAAAAAGAAAAAAAAGGGUUUUGCUGAAGAAAAACAAAAAAGGGUUUUGCUGAGGAAAAAGAAAAAAGGGUUUUGCUGAGGAAAAAGAAAAAAAGAUAGGGUUUUGCUGAGGAAAAAAAAGGGUUUUGCUGAGGAAAAAAAAAAAGGUUUUGCUGAGGAAAAAGACAAAAAAGAUAGGGUUUUGCUGAGGAAAAAACAAAAAAGAUAGGGUUUUGCUGAGGAAAAAGAAAAAAAAGGGUUUUGCUGAGGAAAAAGGAAAAAAAAGGGUUUUGCUGAGGAAAAAGAAAAAAAAGAUAGGGUUUUGCUGAGGAAGAUAAGACUUUCCUGCUGUGCCUUACAGGCCCCGCCUCUGCAGCUUUUUAUUGGCUCCUUUCAAAUGUUGGAAUUCCUCGGGAUGAGGUUAUGGAUUAUACCCUUUAUACUCUCUUCCCUGCCUUUAAACAGCUCCCACCUGAUGGGAGAUGCCUCACCACCGUUUUCUAGCACAAUAGCCUUUUCUAAUCACAUCAUGUAUAAUCUGUACUUCUUUCAUUAUUUACUUAUUUUUUCCCAUUGUCUAUUUGCUCUAGUAAACAUAAGGUCCAGAGGGCAGGGACCAUAUAUGUCUUCGUUCCCUCUUGUAUUCCUGGGGCCUAGCCUCGUGCCUGGCUCAAAAGAGUGCUUCAUAAAUAUUCUAUGAAUGAAAGAGCUCUCAUCGCCUAUUUCAUCCGGCCCCUGUAUAAGACCACUUCUCAAAAUCUUUUGGGUUUUUUUUUUGUCUACCUCUUUAGUUAAUUUAUUUUUUAGAGAAGUAGAGGGAGAGAGAGAGAAUCUCAAGCAGGCUGCACACCCAGUGUGGAGCCUGACAGGUAUGAUCUCACAACCCUGAGAUGAUGACCUGAGCCAAAAUCAAGAGUCCGUGGUUUAACCGACUGAGCCACCCAGGCACCCCACAUCCACCUCUAAUUUUUUUAAUCAGUAUGUUUUGUUUUUCUACAUAACGCCUUUUCUCCAGGCCCGCAAUGAAAAACUGGUCUACUCGCCAAAACCCUCCCCCAAUUUUCAGUCCUCAGGGGGCAAUGCUUCCAACUUUUUUCGGCUCCUUCUGCUGGAAUGUACUUCCCUAUUUCUAAAUUACACGUUGCUGGUUUUUUUUAAUGGCAUAGACAUCUUCAGAAUUAGGGUAGUUGAGGAGUUAGGAGGAGGGAGUUGAGGGUAGUGAGGAGUCUCUUACUGCUCUUUCUACCCCAUUCUGCAAAUAGUUGUGUAAUAAUUUUUGGAUAAAGUCAGCGGUACUUAUCAUGACUACCUAUGACUCACUGUUGAGAUGAGUAAUGUAAUAUAUUUUUUUUAACGCCUAACCCCUGCCCCAAGCUAAGUAUGCUGUUCUUCCAUUUGUCUUUGUUGGUAGUGGUGUUUUUGAUUCACCUAUUGCUUGUUUCUUAUUUGUUUUUUUUCCAAAUGCUCCAGAGAAUCCAAUACCUCACAUCUGUCACAUCAAAUGAAACACUGCAACACAUCAAAUCCCAUCAGUUCCAUUUGCCCCCUCACUCCCCUGUUUUUGUUUUUUUAAAGGUUUUAUUUAUUUAUUCAUGAUAGUCACAGAGAGAGAGAGAGAAAGGCAGAGACACAGGCAGAGGGAGAAGCAGGCUCCAUGCACCAGGAGCCCGACGUGGGAUUCGAUCCCAGGUCUCCAGGAUUGCGCCCUGGGCCAAAGGCAGGCGCCAAACCGCUCUGCCAUCUAGGGAUCCCACUCCCCUGUUCUCUUCCUCCACUCUGUGUGUAUGACUAGUCCUGCUGAAGAGCCGUCAUCCUGGCACUUCCCUUUGCUGGUCACUUAUAUUGAGGCCUUAGUUUUUUUUUUUUUUUUAAUUUUUAUUUAUUUAUGAUAGUCACACAGAGAGAGAGAUUACCAAAGGAUUACCAACUAUAUGAAUACUAUGAAGCAGGAUACCAGGGGGAAUGUAGAGGCUUCCUACCCGGAGGGGUGGGGGCCCAGCAUAGGAAAAGAGGGAGAGGCAGCCCCAGAGGUGUUAGUAAGUGGACAUAGAGCACUAUAUUUUUUUUAUUUAUUUACGAUAGUCACAGAGAGAGAGAAAAAGAGAGGCAGAGACACAGGCAGAGGGAGAAGCAGGCUCCAUGCACCGGGAGCCCGACGUGGGACUCGAUCCCGGGUCUCCAGGAUCGCGCCCUGGGCCAAAGGCAGGCGCCAAACCACUGCGCCACCCAGGGAUCCCAAGGCCUUAGUUUUAUGGAUCUAGUAUCUUCCUAUUAGUUAUCCUUCAUUGCUGAAGCACUUUCUCUAGUAAAUACCUAAGGAAGUUCACACCAGAGAUAAAUUGAGUCUUUGCACACCUUAAAGUAUACCCAAGGUAAAAUCUCACUUCGUUCAUGAAACUUUUACAACCAGAAUUGAGUUCCAUCAUAUCUUACAAUCCUUACCAUAUCAUUCCUUGGCCAUAUACUCCCAUUGUGUAAUCACCUCAUUUUGUGCAUUUUAUCUUCCACACUAAUAAGAGCCAGAAACGUGUAUGAAUCCUUCAAAGCGCCUACUUCAGUAUUUCAUACAAAAAGUUAUUUGUUUGAUUCUUUGUAAUACCCAGUCCCAAGAAAAGGAUUCUAUUUCUUAAUGUGGAUAAAG